rnacentral:rRNA from 1 species
UACGUAGGGGGCAAGCGUUGUCCGGAUUUAUUGGGCGUAAAGAGCGUGUAGGCGGCCAGACAGGUCAGCUGUGAAAACUCGAGGCUCAACCUCGAGCUGUCGGUGGAAACUGUCUGGCUAGAGUCCGGAAGAGGAGAGUGGAAUUCCUGGUGUAGCGGUGAAAUGCGCAGAUAUCAGGAAGAACACCUAUGGCGAAGGCAGCUCUCUGGGACGGUACUGACGCUGAGACGCGAAAGCGUGGGGAGCGAACAGG